ACUGGGCCUCGAGGGAUGGCAGGUGUGGCUACCAUGUCACACGUCCGUUAGUAGGCAGCAGAGAGGAAUGAGACUGUGUCUAUGCUCAGUGUCCUGAUCUCUGAACAUCUGAGCAAUCAGUAGCCUAACACG